UGUGCAGAUAUGCUUUAACCCAGCAGAUUACUUCUGUGAGUUUGAUGGUGAGUUAUGAGAUCUUUGUGGUAAGCCCACAACACAAGAGGAUUCUUUGAUAAACAAUGAGGAAGAGAAAUCCCUUCUGCUUUAAACAGCUUUCUAGUAUUCUGCAGUUGUGUUUAGGAACCACAACCUCAUUCUGAAGUAUGGAUGGACAGCAUGGUCUCUUCAUUGAGGUGACGCAGCAUGACAACGUCUUCCUGCUCUGAAACCUUUGGCAGUGACUGCAGCCACAAAUGUGCAGGUGACAGCAGCAUGGGCCGGAGCGACCAGCUGGCACUGUCAAGAAGAGCAAUAGUGUCAGCUUGAGCCCCUUGGAGAGGAGCCAUCCUGGACAAAGCCACCAGCUCUAAACCGCCUCUCGGGGGGUCCUCAGGAUUGCCACCCAUGUCAGCCUUCCCGCGCAGACAUCCACAUUAAAUAUGAAAGCCUUGCAACACAGAGGAAAUACUUUAUUUCAUUUCAAAAAACAUUCAGAAUGUUGAGUCAGUUCAGGGUUGACAUUGGUAACUGUGUGACUUUGCAUGCCUCCAGGAUUUGUAAAAUUGCCAAACUAGAUUUUGGGAAACCAGUGGGACUACACUACCAGGAGGGAAAUUAACAGAGAGAAGACUGAUUACCACAGACUCUGCUAAGAGAUGGUUGUAACAGGCCAAGGUGCGUUCCCUGCCUGCCCUCAGGCUACGCUGCCUGCUGAAAUCUGUGAAAAAUUUGUAACCUGGGCUGUUCCUGUGCUAAUCUAGCCUCCCUGCCUUGGGAAAUAACUACGCAAAUCACAACUGGGUUUGUCCCAAAGCCCUACCAGAAGUAAGUCAAAGACAAGGCUCCAAUCAUGCCACCUACAGAAGUUUCUUCUGCAUGUAGCCAGGAGCUCAUGGCUAGCUGCAAAGAAGACUCCACAGAAAGAGCAUUUCACUGAGCAGAGCACAUCUUUCCCACUUUGUCAGUGUUAUCUUUUUCUUUUGCCCAGUUCCAUGUUUGAUACGAAAGUUUCUGUGUUAAAAUGCAUCCCCGUUUGACAUCUUUUAAACUUACCUUAAGGUUUAUAUGGAACCUUUGACUACUGAAGCAUAAUAAUCUCCAUUAAUAAACCCUACAGAGGUAAGCUGAAAAAUCAACCUCCCAGGCAAAGAGAUGUGGAACUGCAUAGGAAAUGUUGGAUGCAUACACCACCUACUUUGUAAUGCAGCUCCUAAUCACUGCUAACGGCUCUUGAGUCUGUCAUUUCCUUCCACAGUGUAAAAUCAGCACACUUAAAAAUACCUUUACAACAGGGUUCUCUCUCUGCUCCUGCUUAAUAUUGCUCAUAAAUCAAAAAUACUGAAGAUGAAAUCAUUGGCUUCAUGUCACACUAAACAUUCAAAAUCAUUAUCCCAAAAUCCUUUGGGGAAGCAGACAAGAUGCUCCCAGUUCAGCUCCCUGUAGAUUGUAGGUCAGUAGCACAAAGACAUAGCAUAUAAUUGGUCUCAAGUGGUAGCCUGAGCUCGUAAGAGGCCAAGGACAAAUUAGUCCGAAUCACCUCCUACUUUAAAAAGAGACAUUUCAACAUGGGCACAGUUCAGAUUUGCAGCUGCCUGACCUACGGAAAAUAUGAGGCUUUAAUGCAUCCAGAAAUUGAACAGUGAACAAUUUGGGUGUCUGAAUAUGACAGGAAACAUCAGCCUUUUGAUCCAGGGCACUUCUGUGAGCAUUUUGGCUUCAGGAUGAAUUCCGAAUUCUUAAGUUUAUAUUGAAGAGUACAAAACUCAACUUUAAACUCUAGAUUAUAAAGGGAAAUGAAGACCGAAAUGAAAGCAGCAUGCAAAUGCUAACUGUGAAAUGUUUCCAGUAAAUACCAGAUAUUGCUUUUUAAUGUUAUAUGACAUUUUACAGAUGCAGAAAACAAUCAGACAUCUAUUGUCAGCCAAUUAGUACAUUAAAAUAAAUGCAAAUGCAAAAAAUCACUGA